rnacentral:rRNA from 1 species
GACGAACGCUGGCGGCGUGCUUAACACAUGCAAGUCGAACGGUGAACCUGUACGAAGGUGAUCAUUGGCGAACGGGUGAGUAACACGUGGGGAACCUGAUCCGGGCUCUGGUAUAACUCCAAGACAUUGAGGCGAAUAUCAGAUGUUCACCGCUUCCCGCAUGGGUGGUGGUGGAAAGGUGAUCCGGCUGGGGCUGGGUCGGCGGCCGAUCCGCUUUUUGGUGGUGUAGUGGCCUACCAAGGCGACGACGGGUAGCCGGCCUGGGAGGGUGACCACCGACAAUGGGACUAGGAUACGGCCCAGACCCCUACGGGAGACAACAGUGGGAAAUAUGACGCAAUGGGGCGAAGCCGGAGGCAGAGACGCCGAGUGGGUGAUGACGUCCUUCGGGGUAUAAAAAUCAUUAAGCAGGGACCAAGCGGAAGUGACGGUACCUGAAGAAUAAGCACCGGCUAACUACGUG